GCACAAGCGGUGGAGCAUGUGGUUUAAUUCGAAGCAACGCGAAGAACCUUACCAGGUCUUGACAUCCCCUGACAACCCGAGAGAUCGGGCGUUCCCCUUCGGGGGACAGGGUGACAGGUGGUGCAUGGUUGUCGUCAGCUCGUGUCGUGAGAUGUUGGGUUAAGUCCCGCAACGAGCGCAACCCUCGACCUUAGUUGCCAGCAUUCAGUUGGGCACUCUAAGGUGACUGCCGGCUAAAAGUCGGAGGAAGGUGGGAUGACGUCAAAUCAUCAUGCCCCUUAUGACCUGGGCUACACACGUGCUACAAUGGGCGGUACAAAGGGCAGCGACACAGCGAUGUGAAGCGAAUCCCGAAAAGCCGGUCUCAGUCCGGAUUGGAGUCUGCAACUCGACUCCAUGAAGUUGGAAUCGCUAGUAAUCGCGGAUCAGCACGCCGCGGUGAAUACGUUCCCGGGCCUU
rnacentral:rRNA from 1 species